rfam:Ornithorhynchus anatinus chromosome 12, whole genome shotgun sequence.
AGCAGCGUGGCUCAGUGGAAAGAGCACGGGCUUGGGAGCCAGAGGUCAUGGGUUCGAAUCCCGGCUCUGCCA